GAUGAACGCUGGCGGCGUGCCUAAUACAUGCAAGUCGAGCGAACGGACGAGAAGCUUGCUUCUCUGAUGUUAGCGGCGGACGGGUGAGUAACACGUGGAUAACCUACCUAUAAGACUGGGAUAACUUCGGGAAACCGGAGCUAAUACCGGAUAAUAUUUUGAACCGCAUGGUUCAAAAGUGAAAGACGGUCUUGCUGUCACUUAUAGAUGGAUCCGCGCUGCAUUAGCUAGUUGGUAAGGUAACGGCUUACCAAGGCAACGAUGCAUAGCCGACCUGAGAGGGUGAUCAGCCACACUGGAACUGAGACACGGUCCAGACUCCUACGGGAGGCAGCAGUAGGGAAUCUUCGGCAAUGGGCGAAAGCCUGACGGAGCAACGCCGCGUGAGUGAUGAAGGUCUUCGGAUCGUAAAACUCUGUUAUUAGGGAAGAACAUAUGUGUAAGUAACUGUGCACAUCUUGACGGUACCUAAUCAGAAAGCAACGGCUAACUACGUG
rnacentral:rRNA from 1 species